UGAGGAAUCUUGCGCAAUGGGGGAAACCCUGACGCAGCAACGCCGCGUGGGUGAAGAAGGCCUUCGGGUCGUAAAGCCCUGUCAAGUGGGAAGAAUAGCCUUUAGACGAAUAAUCUGAAGGUAUGACGGUACCACUGAAGGAAGCACCGGCUAACUCCGUGCCAGCAGCCGCGGUAAUACGGAGGGUGCAAGCGUUAUUCGGAAUUAUUGGGCUAAAGGGCGUGUAGGCGGUUUGUUAAGUCAGAUGUGAAAGCCCGGGGCUCAACCCCGGAAGUGCAUUUGAUACUGGCAGGCUUGAGUGCGGGAGAGGAGAGCGGAAUUCCCAGUGUAGAGGUGAAAUUCGUAGAUAUUGGGAGGAACACCGGUGGCGUAGGCGGCUCUCUGGACCGACACUGACGCUAA
rnacentral:rRNA from 1 species